rnacentral:rRNA from 1 species
AAUGAACGCUGGCGGUAGGCCUAACACAUGCAAGUCGAACGGCAGCACAGUAAGAGCUUGCUCUUACGGGUGGCGAGUGGCGGACGGGUGAGGAAUACAUCGGAAUCUACUUUUUCGUGGGGGAUAACGUAGGGAAACUUACGCUAAUACCGCAUACGACCUACGGGUGAAAGCAGGGGAUCUUCGGACCUUGCGCGAUUGAAUGAGCCGAUGUCGGAUUAGCUAGUUGGCGAGGUAAAGGCCCACCAAGGCGACGAUCCGUAGCUGGUCUGAGAGGAUGAUCAGCCACACUGGAACUGAGACACGGUCCAGACUCCUACGGGAGGCAGCAGUGGGGAAUAUUGGACAAUGGGCGCAAGCCUGAUCCAGCCAUACCGCGUGGGUGAAGAAGGCCUUCGGGUUGUAAAGCCCUUUUGUUGGGAAAGAAAAGCAGCAGGUUAAUACCCCGCUGUUCUGACGGUACCCAAAGAAUAAGCACCGGCUAACUUCGUG